rnacentral:rRNA from 1 species
UACAGAGGUCUCAAGCGUUGUUCGGAUUCAUUGGGCGUAAAGGGUGUGUAGGUGGCGCGCUAAGUCGGGUGUGAAAUUUCGGAGCUUAACUCCGAAACUGCAUUCGAUACUGGCGUGCUUGAGGACUGGAGAGGAGACUGGAAUUCAUGGUGUAGCAGUGAUAUGCGUAGAGAUCAUGAGGAAGACCAGUGGCGAAGGCGGGUCUCUGGACAGUUCCUGACACUGAGACACGAAGGCCAGGGGAGCAAACGGG